rnacentral:rRNA from 1 species
CCUACGGGAGGCAGCAGUGAGGAAUUUUCUGCAAUGGGCGAAAGCCUGACAGAGCAAUACCGCGUGAGGGAAGAAGGCCUAUGGGUUGUAAACCUCUUUUCUCAAGGAGGAGGAUCUGACGUUACUUGAGGAAUAAGCAUCGGCUAACCCUGUGCCAGCAGCCGCGGUAAUACAGGGGAUGCAAGUGUUAUCCGGAAUUAUUGGGCGUAAAGCGUCUGCAGGUUGAUAAUUAAGUCUUUUGUUAAACCUCUGGGCUUAACCCAGAAUCUGCAAAAGAAACUAUUUAUCUUGAGUAUGGUAGAGGUAAAGGGAAUUUCCAGUGGAGCGGUGAAAUGCGUAGAGAUUGGAAAGAACACCAACAGCGAAGGCACUUUACUGGGCCAGUACUGACACUCAGAGACGAAAGCUAGGGGAGCAAACAGGAUUAGAUACCCUGGUAGUCCUAGCUGUAAACGAUGGAUACUAGAUGUUGUGUUAUUUUUAAUAUAGUNAGUGUGUAGUACUACGUACGUUAAGUAUACCGUCCGUCGGUAGUAGUGCGUCGCGAGAGUAGAAACGUUAAAGUAAGUAAGUUAGUUACGUGUUAGAGUAGCGACGACGACGACGACGGAGGAGGAG